AUUGAACGCUGGCGGCAUGCUCUACACAUGCAAGUCGAACGGCAGCGCGGGGCAACCUGGCGGCGAGUGGCGAACGGGUGAGUAAUAUAUCGGAACGUACCCAAGAGUGGGGGAUAACGUAGCGAAAGUUACGCUAAUACCGCAUACGAUCUAAGGAUGAAAGUGGGGGACCUUCGGGCCUCAUGCUUUUGGAGCGGCCGAUGUCUGAUUAGCUAGUUGGUAGGGUAAAGGCCUACCAA
rnacentral:rRNA from 1 species